GAUGAACGCUAACGGGAGGCCUAACACAUGCAAGCCGAGCGGUAUUGUUUCUUCGGAAAUGAGAGAGCGGCGUACGGGUGCGGAACACGUGUGCAACCUGCCUUUAUCUGGGGGAUAGCCUUUCGAAAGGAAGAUUAAUACUCCAUAACAUAUUGAACGGCAUCGUUUAAUAUUGAAAGCUCCGGCGGAUAGAGAUGGGCACGCGCAAGAUUAGCUAGUUGGUGAGGUAACGGCUCACCAAGGCGAUGAUCUUUAGGGGGCCUGAGAGGGUGAUCCCCCACACUGGUACUGAGACACGGACCAGACUCCUACGGGAGGCAGCAGUGAGGAAUAUUGGUCAAUGGGUGCAAGCCUGAACCAGCCAUCCCGCGUGAAGGACGACUGCCCUAUGGGUUGUAAACUUCUUUUGUAUAGGGAUAAACCUACCCUCGUGAGGGUAGCUGAAGGUACUAUACGAAUAAGCACCGGCUAACUCCGUG
rnacentral:rRNA from 1 species